UUUGUGUGGACAUGUAUUUUUAUUUCUCCAAGAUAGAUACCUAGGAGUGAAAUUUAUUAGGUUAUAUGGUAACUCCAUGUUUAACUGAUCGAGUAACUGCUAGAUGUUUUCCAAAGUGGCUAUGCCAUUUUACAUUUCCACCAGUAGUGUAUAUGAAUUCCAAUUUCUCCAGUUGUUAUUAUCUGACAUUUUUACUUUAGCCAUCCUAGUGAGCAUGAAGAAGUAUCUCAUUGUGGUUUUGAUUUGCAUUUCCGUGAUGGCUAAUGAUGUGGAGUAACUUUUCAUGUAUAUAUUGACCAUUUGAUUUAGAUGUGCUAUUUUAAAUAUUUUGAUUUUCUUGACUAUAGGCCACAUUUUCUUAUUUGUUCCUUGACUCAGGGUCUUAAAAGACAAAAAUUAAGGUAUUGGCUGAUCUGUGUUGUCAUCUAGAACUCUGGGUCCUCUUCCAAGUUCAUGUGAUUGUGACAGAAUUCAGUUCCCUGUGGUUGUAUGACUAAGACCCCCAUUUCCUUGCUGCCUGUCAAUUAGUGGCGACUCUCAGCUCCCAGAGGCCACCUGCAUUUCUUGCCACAUAGCCCUCUCCAUUUUGAAGCUAGAAUGGGGAACAUUUUAUGCAUUAGAUCUCCCUCAUGCUUUUACUCUCUGGCUUCUUCUGGCCCACCUGAAUAACCUCCUUAUCUACAGUCAACUGAUUUAGGAUAUCUACAAAAUUCCUUUCCAGGAGUACCUAGGAUUUGUGUUUGACUGAAUAACUGGACAAAGGUGUAUGUACACUAGGAACUGGAAAUGAUAGGGUCAUCUUCAAAUUCUGCUUAUGGCAAUCAGUGUUGCUCUACCAGUUUUUUAUUUUGUUAGUGACAGCCUAGUGUAUUUUUUUCUAUAAUAGUAUGUUUUCUGUACUCUCAGGUUUAAAUGUCUUCUUAACAACAGAUUAACAGCUGGAUUUAAGAAAGUAACAUUUUUGGAAUCUCCAGUGUGUAUCUGGUGAAUUUACCUCACUUAGUGAUUACUGACAUAUUUAGAAUUAUUUUUUUUAAUCAUUUUUUGUGCUUCCGUUUACUCUUUUUUUUUUUUUUUCUCUUUACCACUUCUCUCCCCUUCUACUGGUUUGGUAGUUAUAUAUUCUGUCAGUGGCUUUCGUAAAAUUAAUGAUUUUAUUAACCAGUCUAAAGUUAAUCAGUAUAUUUGUUCUCCAGACAAAUAAGACAGGAACCUUAAAAUUAUGUUAAUUCUAAUUAUCUCACUUUAUUCUUAGAGAAAAAAAUGGAUUUCUUAUACAUUAAUGAUAGUCUGCUAACAGAUUUCUCAUCAGCAUCAGCAGAAUACAGCAAAGAAAUAUCAUCUAAGAGUUGAGGUAAAUGAACUGUUGGUUAAAAGUCAAUAACCAAUGAAAAUAUCAUUCAAGGGCAAAACUCACAGAUUCUUCCCAAGGGAACACUAAUGAUAUACUUCAGUCACAGGAAAACAAUAUGGAAGAGUGGGAUAUGGAGAAAAGAAGAGUGGAGAAGCUAAGUAUCAAACUUGUGUGAGGCACACAGCUAAAGACGACAGCUAGGAGAAUGUCCUCUUGCUCAGAAAUGGCAUGGGACUCAAAAAGCAAUUCUAACUAUCUGCAUUUAUUCUUUUAGCUCAUUGGUGACCGAGAGAGUGCUAAUGUCUAUGAGUUCUAGAAUGUAUAAGAAAAAUUUACUCAGGCACUAUCCUUCAAAUUAAAGAGAACAUGGAACAACAAGAGCCUAUAAAUUAUAAUAAUUUAUCUUAUUUGAAAUCCCAGUUAUGCAGCGUGAUUUUUAGUUACUAGCAUAACUACAGAAACUUUAAGAAAUUUUGAAUAACUGGUGGUGAUAUGACCAUGUUCAGAAACCAAAGGUCAAAAGAGAAGCCAAACUGAAUAAACAAAAUUGUUUUAGUAAAUAGCAAAAUGUAGAGUUCCUCUGUAUUUGGAGGUAAAUUCUAAACAAUAAAACACAUGUGAUGUUUUGUUUUUUAAAAAGAUCACCUGAUUUUGUUCUUAAACCAGGCUUACAAGCUACAAUAUAAUCUUUUUAAAUUAUAGGCAAUUACAAAAAGGCACAUUAAACUUCAGCUAAUCACAGUUGUUUCAAAAAUAUGUCCCUUCUCUUAACAAAGCAGUAACCCAGCCAAAACUUGGAUAAACUGGCAUUUCCUUAGAUCACAUGUUUCAUUCCUAAACACAAUGCCCCUUGUGUUUCUUUCAGGUGUCCAUACUUUCUCUGAAAAAUAGAUCUCCCCUUCCAAAGCUUGAGCAUUAUCUGCUCUUUGUUUGAAAAUAAAUGCAUUGUUCAUGUGUGGACUAGUAACGCAGGUGUUUUACCUCUUUUUUCCCAGUCAGGCUGAUUCUUAAGCCUUUUAUGAAAUCAGUUCAGUUUAGUCAAAUCUCUGACAUCCACUUUUUAUUGCCAUUUCCCUUUAUGGCUAAAAUACAAGCCCUAAAUACAACAAGAUCAUCUUUUAUUCCAUUAUGUUUACCUUUUUCUUCUACAGCAGUUAUCUUAGAAGAUGUUUACAUUUUUAGUUAAUAUCUCAAGUGUUGCCAACAUUCUGCUUUCUUCUCACUUCUUGAAGACUAACUCUGGGACAAGGCCAAAGUUCAGAUCAAGUAUUAAUAGUUCAAGUUGCUUUCAUUUUUCCUAAACUCCUUAAGGUACCCAGAUUUGCUCCUGUCGCUGGAAAGCACUAUCUGAAAGCUUUGCAUGAAAUUAAACUCUCUGGGUGUAACCAAACUGAAUAAAGCCAUAGAAGCAUGUAUUGAAGCAACUCUUCCUGAGUGAGGCAUGAGAAACACUGACAUUCUUAACACAGCAAGCAUUGGUGUUGGGUGUCAGGUAACUGAUUCUGUCUUCUGAAAUACAGAGUUUCAACCCCUCAUUUUAUUUCCAAACAAGCACUUUUAUGUUACUCUCUAGAGAAUGAAGGGGUUCUGAUCUCAGAGCAUGAGGCAUGCUAUAGCUGAGAAGGGAAAAAGGGGAGCAGAAUUACUUGAAGACUUCAUCUCUUCAAUGCAGAGGAUAGUAACUGAUAUUACUUACCAAAGUAUCUCUUUUCUAGCUAUGUAACAUGAAGUUUCAAGCAAUUUUUGUCCUUCAUGUCUUAAUUGCGUAUAUAAUCUCCCUUUUCCUGUCAUUUACUAUACUAAAGUAUACUUCAGUAAAAUACAGUACGUAUUUUAGGUUUUUAUCAUUUUUUUCAUGUCUAAGAGGUUUAGCAAUUUCAUCUUUUAUUAUAAAUGUUAGAAGAUUUAUAUGAAAAUAGUAAAUAAUCAUUAAAUAGUCUAGCUUCUUUUUCUAAUUACAGUGUUUUUCUUAAUAUCAAUGUAUUGAAUGCUUUGUUGAUUAAAAGGGAGAAUGUAACACAUCCAUAGUGUAUAUUAUUGCUUCUUUGUCAAAUUUGCCAAAUGUAACUAAUGUGAACUUAUUCAUAAAACACACUAUGCUGUUAUGAGUGGCUGCAGAGUUCCUUUACAAUGUUGUAGCUUCAUUUUAAAAACAAGUGCACAUUUCUUCAGUUGUCUGAAAAGCAUUUUGUAGGAAUUAGAAAUCAAUUUUGAAGUGAAUUUUACUCUAUAUUUUAAGGUUGAUAAUUCAGAAUAAUUUAAACCAAAGUUGGGUGUUUAUAUUUUACACUGGCAAUACUCUGUAACGCUGGGUGCUAUAGUUCAUGUGGACAAUAAGAUGGAACUCAGCAUUAUGUGAAGAUAUUAAGGAGAUUUUACUUACAAGGAGGUACAUGACCCUGGCCUCGAGGAAAGUGUUAAUCAAGACAUUUGAGUGUUUAGAGAUUGUGAUAUCAAUGGCUGAAGUAAAUUUGUAAAGCAUAAAUAUAAUAUGGAACCUCCACUCAAGCAUAAUCUCAGCUUUCUUCAGUUAUUCUUAAGCACAGGGUCACUUAUUUAUUUAUGCUUGAGUCAGCUGAUUUAAAAACUCUUAUUUCAUAUCCCCUUGGGACAGCUAAAGAAAGCUUUUUUCACUACACGUGUGGGAAACAGCACUCUGAAAUCCCUUGCUUGAAAUGGAGAAAGGAAACAAAAACCCUCUGUAUUUCCAGCAUUUUGAAGUUCAAAUUUGUAAACACAAUGUAUCCAAAGUUUCUAAAGUUUUACUGAAGCGGUAAAUUCACUAGGUAAAUUGAUUUAACAAUUUUUUUUUCAAUUUUAACUUUAUUGAGGAAUAAUGUAUGCAUAAUAAACUGCAUGUGUUUAAAGUG